CUAGUUGGUGGAGGCAGUGAGAUUUUGCAAAGGUUGGUGAGGUUGCUGCAGUUGCUGUGGCUGUGGUUGCUGCUGUUGGGUAUUCCCCAAAGGAGUAUACUAUAGUGAAUGUCAUUUUUUUCCCCUCUAAGUAUUUGGUUAAGAGGCACUGUCUUCACAAAAACUACAUACAAUGACAAAAGCUUAACCUCAUUUCCUGCAGCAUUUAAGUUGAAGAAGGCAAUACAAAACUCCUGCUCAGCAAGACACACUGGCUGCAGCUCACU